CCACUGUCCAGCACUAGCAAGGGACAAAUGGAUGUUUGUCUCUUAGGAAAAAAAAGGAUUCAGCGUGGAAACAGCUCUGGAUACUCCUCACUCUUCACCUUGCCCAUAUCAUUCAUAUGCCUCCAAAGGCGGGAAUUUGAAGGAGAUGAAGAGCAAGAUAGCAGGCAUUGAGCACUGUGGGGAAAUGCGACUUGAUGAUGCAAGAAUCCAUGGCAUCUCUGCUACCUCAGCAAGGCAUCUGCACCCUGGGGUGCAUCAGCCCCUGGACUUCUGCACAGCAGUGUCUUUGUCUCCUUGGCCCCGGGAAGUUGCCCCUUUUCUCUGGAGGACACCAGGAAGGAGAGGGGCCAUAGCACAUCCCUCACAGCUGCAGGAGCUGCCAGCCUGGCCACUCAGGGUCCUUCAAAGAAUUUAUAUUCUGGAGGGUCUGUGACAUGAAGGGCUCUUUAUUU